rnacentral:rRNA from 1 species
UACGUAGGGGGCAAGCGUUGUCCGGAAUCAUUGGGCGUAAAGCGCGCGUAGGCGGCCCGGUAAGUCCGCUGUAAAAGUCCAGGCUCAACCCUGGAAAGCCGGUGGAUACUGUCGGGCUAGAGUCCGGAAGAGGCGAGUGGAAUUCCUGGUGUAGCGGUGGAAUGCGCAGAUAUCAGGAGGAACACCGAUGGCGAAGGCAGCUCGCUGGGACGGUACUGACGCUGAGGCGCGAAAGCGUGGGGAGCGAACAGG